CUUCCAGAGUUGGGGUUUGGUCAUCAAGGUCAUGGAGAACCCCAAAAAUCCGGGAUUGGGGGCAGGGAAAGCCGGGAGAACCUUCCAGAAUUGGGAUUUGGUCAUCAGAACCAAGAAGAACCUUCCAGAGUUGGGUUUGGGUCAUGGAGAACCUUCCAGAGCUGGGUUUGGGUCAUCUAAACCAUAAAGAACCGCCCAAAUUUGGGGGUUGGGUCAUCAGAACCAUGGAGAACCUUCCAGAAUUGUGUUUUGGGCCAUGGAGAACCUUCCAGAGUUGGGUUUGGGUCAUCAAAACCAAGAAGAACGUUCCAGAGUUGGGUUUGGGUCAUGAAGAACCUCCCAAAGUUGGGUUUUGGUCAUCAAAACCGUAAAGAACCGCCCAGAUUUAGGGUUUGGGUCAUCAGAA